GCUACUACCGAUUGAAUGGUUUAGUGAGGACUCCUGAUUGUCGCCGCCGCCCCGGCAACGGAGCAGCGGACUGCCGAAAAGUUGUUCAAACUUGAUCAUUUAGAGGAAGUAAAAGUCGUAACAAGGUUUCCGUAGGUGAACCUGCAGAAGGAUCAAGUUCGGAUUAGCAUACUUCUGAUCUCUAGUCACGUGUCCUUAUCUCGUAUCCCGCCUUCUACUUGACAAAAAUCAAUUUUCAUUUACAUUUACACUCCACCCAACUUCUUUAUAUGUCUCU
rnacentral:misc_RNA from 1 species